AUUAUUUUGGCAGAUUAGUGCAUUAAAUUUAGAAUUUAAAUAUGAAAAUUAAAUUUCAAAUAAUAC
rnacentral:tRNA from 1 species